GAUGAACGCUGGCGGCGUGCCUAAUACAUGCAAGUCGAGCGAACAGACGAGGAGCUUGCUCCUCUGACGUUAGCGGCGGACGGGUGAGUAACACGUGGAUAACCUACCUAUAAGACUGGGAUAACUUCGGGAAACCGGAGCUAAUACCGGAUAAUAUAUUGAACCGCAUGGUUCAAUAGUGAAAGACGGUUUUGCUGUCACUUAUAGAUGGAUCCGCGCCGCAUUAGCUAGUUGGUAAGGUAACGGCUUACCAAGGCAACGAUGCGUAGCCGACCUGAGAGGGGGAUCGGCCACCCGGGAACUGAGACGCGGUCCAAACCCCUACGGGAGGCAGGAGUGGGGAAUCUUCCGCAAGGGGCGAAAGCCUGACGGAGCAACGCCGCGUGGGUGAUGAAGGUCUUCGGAUCGUAAAACUCUUUUAUUAGGGAAAAAAAAAUGUGUAAGUAACUAUGCCCGUUUGGACGGUACCUAAACAGAAAGCCACGGAUAACUACGU
rnacentral:rRNA from 1 species